rnacentral:rRNA from 1 species
GACGAGGGGUCCUAGCGUUGUUCGGAAUCAUUGGGCGUAAAGCGUAUGUAGGCGGCUUUUCAAGUCAGGUGUGAAAUCCCAUGGCUUAACCAUGGAACUGCAUUUGAAACUGUAAAGCUUGAGUAUUGGAGAGGAUGGUAGAAUUCCUGGUGUAGUGGUGAAAUACGUAGAUAUCAGGAGGAAUACCGGUGGCGAAGGCGGCCAUCUGGCCAAAUACUGACGCUGAGAUACGAAAGUGUGGGGAUCAAACAGG